UUUAAAUUUAGAGUUUGAUCCUGGCUCAGGACGAACGCUGGCGGCGUGCUUAACACAUGCAAGUCGAGCGAUGAAACUUCCUUCGGGGAGUGGAUUAGCGGCGGACGGGUGAGUAACACGUGGGUAACCUGCCUCAAAGUGGGGGAUAGCCUUCCGAAAGGAAGAUUAAUACCGCAUAAUAUAAGAGAAUCGCAUGAUUUUCUUAUCAAAGAUUUAUUGCUUUGAGAUGGACCCGCGGCGCAUUAGCUAGUUGGUAAGGUAACGGCUUACCAAGGCAACGAUGCGUAGCCGACCUGAGAGGGUGAUCGGCCACAUUGGAACUGAGACACGGUCCAGACUCCUACGGGAGGCAGCAGUGGGGAAUAUUGCGCAAUGGGGGAAACCCUGACGCAGCAACGCCGCGUGGGUGAUGAAGGUCUUCGGAUUGUAAAGCCCUGUUUUCUAGGACGAUAAUGACGGUACUAGAGGAGGAAGCCACGGCUAACUACGUGCCAGCAGCCGCGGUAAUACGUAGGUGGCGAGCGUUGUCCGGAUUUACUGGGCGUAAAGGGUGCGUAGGCGGAUGUUUAAGUGGGAUGUGAAAUCCCCGGGCUUAACCUGGGGGCUGCAUUCCAAACUGGAUAUCUAGAGUGCAGGAGAGGAAAGCGGAAUUCCUAGUGUAGCGGUGAAAUGCGUAGAGAUUAGGAAGAACACCAGUGGCGAAGGCGGCUUUCUGGACUGUAACUGACGCUGAGGCACGAAAGCGUGGGUAGCAAACAGGAUUAGAUACCCUGGUAGUCCACGCCGUAAACGAUGGAUACUAGGUGUAGGGGGUAUCAACUCCCCCUGUGCCGCAGUUAACACAAUAAGUAUCCCGCCUGGGGAGUACGGUCGCAAGAUUAAAACUCAAAGGAAUUGACGGGGGCCCGCACAAGCAGCGGAGCAUGUGGUUUAAUUCGAAGCAACGCGAAGAACCUUACCUGGACUUGACAUCCCUUGCAUAGCCUAGAGAUAGGUGAAGCCCUUCGGGGCAAGGAGACAGGUGGUGCAUGGUUGUCGUCAGCUCGUGUCGUGAGAUGUUAGGUUAAGUCCUGCAACGAGCGCAACCCUUGUUAUUAGUUGCUACCAUUAAGUUGAGCACUCUAAUGAGACUGCCUGGGUAACCAGGAGGAAGGUGGGGAUGACGUCAAAUCAUCAUGCCCCUUAUGUCCAGGGCUACACACGUGCUACAAUGGUAGGUACAAUAAGACGCAAGACCGUGAGGUGGAGCAAAACUUAUAAAACCUAUCUCAGUUCGGAUUGUAGGCUGCAACUCGCCUACAUGAAGCUGGAGUUGCUAGUAAUCGCGAAUCAGAAUGUCGCGGUGAAUACGUUCCCGGGCCUUGUACACACCGCCCGUCACACCAUGAGAGCUGGUAACACCCGAAGUCCGUGAGGUAACCGUAAGGAGCCAGCGGCCGAAGGUGGGAUUAGUGAUUGGGGUGAAGUCGUAACAAGGUAGCCGUAGGAGAACCUGCGGCUGGAUCACCUCCUUUCU
rnacentral:rRNA from 1 species